rnacentral:rRNA from 1 species
AAUGGGCGCAAGCCUGAUCCAGCCAUGCCGCGUGUGUGAUGAAGGCCCUAGGGUUGUAAAACACUUUCAGUGGGGAAGAUAAUGACGGUACCCACAGAAGAAGCUCCGGCUAACUCCGUGCCAGCAGCCGCGGUAAUACGGAGGGAGCUAGCGUUGUUCGGAAUUACUGGGCGUAAAGCGCACGUAGGCGGAUUUGUUAGUCAGAGGUGAAAUCCCGGGGCUCAACCUCGGAACUGCCUUUGAUACUGCAAGUCUAGAGACCGAGAGAGGUGAGUGGAAUUUCCAGUGUAGAGGUGAAAUUCGUAGAUAUUGGAAAGAACACCAGUGGCGAAGGCGGCUCACUGGCUCGGUACUGGCGCUGAGGUGCGAAAGCGUGGGGAGCAAACAGGAUU